UACAGAGGGUGCGAGCGUUGUUCGGAAUUAUUGGGCGUAAAGAGCUCGUAGGCGGUCUGUCGCGUCGGCUGUGAAAACUCGGGGCUCAACCCCGAGCCUGCAGUCGAUACGGGCAGACUAGAGUGCUGUAGGGGAGACUGGAAUUCCUGGUGUAGCGGUGAAAUGCGCAGAUAUCAGGAGGAACACCGGUGGCGAAGGCGGGUCUCUGGGCAGUAACUGACGCUGAGGAGCGAAAGCGUGGGGAGCGAACAGG
rnacentral:rRNA from 1 species